AACGAACGCUGGCGGCAGGCUUAACACAUGCAAGUCGAACGCCCCGCAAGGGGAGUGGCAGACGGGUGAGUAACGCGUGGGAAUCUACCCAGUUCUACGGAACAACAGUUGGAAACGACUGCUAAUACCGUAUACGCCCUACGGGGGAAAGAUUUAUCGGAAUUGGAUGAGCCCGCGUAAGAUUAGCUAGUUGGUGAGGUAAUGGCUCACCAAGGCGACGAUCUUUAGCUGGUCUGAGAGGAUGAUCAGCCACACUGGGACUGAGACACGGCCCAGACUCCUACGGGAGGCAGCAGUGGGGAAUAUUGGACAAUGGUCGCAAGCCUGAUCCAGCCAUGCCGCGUGAGUGAUGAAGGCCUUAGGGUUGUAAAGCUCUUUCAGUAGGGAAGAUAAUGACGGUACCUACAGAAGAAGCCCCGGCUAACUUCGUGCCAGCCGCCGCAGUAACAC
rnacentral:rRNA from 1 species